rnacentral:rRNA from 1 species
UACGGGGGAUGCAAGCGUUAUCCGGAAUCAUUGGGCGUAAAGCGCCUGUAGGUUGUUUAAUAAGUCUGUUGUUAAAGACUAGGGCUCAACCCUAGAUAAGCAAUGGAAACUACUAGACUAGAGUAUGGCAGGGGUAGAGGGAAUUUCUAGUGUAGCGGUGAAAUGCGUAGAUAUUAGAAAGAACACCGGUGGCGAAAGCGCUCUACUGGACCAUUACUGACACUCAGAGGCGAAAGCUAGGGUAGCAAAAGGGAUUAGAUACCCCUGUAGUCCUAGCCGUAAACGAUGGAUACUAGAUGUUGCAUGUAAUGUGCAGUAUCCUAGCUAACGCGUUAAGUAUCCCGCCUGGGGAGUACGCUCGCAAGGGUG